GACGAACGCUGGCGGCGUGCUUAACACAUGCAAGUCGAACGGAAAGGCGCUGCGUUUGUUCGUUUCUCGAUUGGCGAACGGGUGAGUAACACGUGAGUAACCUGCCCUUGACUUUGGGAUAACACCAGGAAACUGGGGCUAAUACCGCAUAUAAUCUCCUGCUGCAUGUGGGUGGUUGGAAAGUUUCGGCGUUUGGGGAUGGACUCGCGGCUUAUCAGCUUGUUUGUGGGGUAGUUGCGUACCAAGGCUUUGACAGGUAGCCGGCCUGAGAGGGUGAACGGCCACAUUGGGCCUGCGGUAGGGAGCAGACUCGUACGGGCGGCAGUAGUGGAGAACAUUACGCAGCAAGGCGACGUCUGAUGCAGAAACGCCGCGUGCGUGAUGACCUGCUAUGGGUUGUAAACAAAUGUCGAAUGAGACGAAGCCUGCGUGACGGUAAUGGGUCAAAAAGCAACGGCUAACUACGUG
rnacentral:rRNA from 1 species